UACUAUGUGAUAAUUGUGGAGGAAACACUGCUCCGUCGUCUGAGAAAUUUGAAUGAGAAAGUGUGUUCAUCCUUGAAACGAGUGCAAUGAAUGAGAGGAGCAGGUGGUGCAUUGUUCGUGCUUGACAAUUAUUAUUAUCAAGCAGACGUUGGUCAUGACAACACAAUCGAGGGAUGCAAAUCUAAGAAGAAAAUGACAAAGUUGGUGACGAAACUGAUGAAAAAAAUGAACAACUGAAGAUAAUAUUGUGCAUGAAGGAACAUAGGAAGCAUCCAUGUUAGUUAGGGCAAGAUCUUGCACACUACGUACCCUAUGGGGUGGACCCAUGAUGAGACCUUACCAGGAGGGGCUUUUGCACUUCAAGGCUCUGUAAAGUUUUCGAUGUUAU
rnacentral:lncRNA from 1 species